CAGCCGCCACGGUAAUACAGAGGGUGCAAGCGUUAAUCGGAAUUACUGGGCGUAAAGCGCGCGUAGGUGGUUUGUUAAGUUGGAUGUGAAAGCCCCGGGCUCAACCUGGGAACUGCAUCCAAAACUGGCAAGCUAGAGUACGGUAGAGGGUGGUGGAAUUUCCUGUGUAGCGGUGAAAUGCGUAGAUAUAGGAAGGAACACCAGUGGCGAAGGCGACCACCUGGACUGAUACUGACACUGAGGUGCGAAAGCGUGGGGAGCAAACAGGAUUAGAUACCCCAGUAGUCCCUGUCUCUUAUAA
rnacentral:rRNA from 1 species